rnacentral:lncRNA from 1 species
GACCCUAUAUUUAUAUUAUAAGUAUCUAAAAUUAUUUUUGAGUAGGCUGGUCUGAAUCCCAUAGGAAAAAAAAUGAUCUCAGCGGCCAGUCCAUUCAAACAUUGGUUCUGGAUACUUGUAAAUAAAUGGCCUGAUCUACUUAUACUUCAUUAUUUUUUAUGCUUGGGCGACGAAUUUUAUAAGAUUUUGAGUCCAACCAUCCAAAC